ensembl:lncRNA
AUCAGGUGUGAGACUGACACAAAGAUAAAAAGGUAAAAAUUCUAAUUCAAGAAAAAGUGACCAGAUAACAAGAUUAAGUUAUAAUUGUGACUCAGUACAUCAAACAUUUGCUUUAUUGGUUGUCAUUGUUCACUGUGACUAAAUUCUUUUUGUUCCAUUGGUGGAAGUUUAACAUCCACCACAGAGAGGAACUACAAGAAAACCCAUUGUUUUCAGAGACACCUGCAAAUGCAGGAAGUGAACUGAUGAUGUUAAUACCAACCAACAACAAAGUUAAGUUGUCAGAAGCUCAGGUGCAGCAGCAGCAGGUGGACGUGGACGAGACAGUCAGAAAGUGCAGAGGACAAGUGGUCAGUACAAUAACCAGUGUUCGGAUUGAUCUACAUCAGCAGUUUGAUCGUGUGACAAUGAAGGUCUUCACCCCAUCAAAUCAGCAAAACUACGAGCUGCUGCUCAACAUGGACACUCACCAGCCCUCCAUCCCCGUGAAGGACAAACUGCAAGAGUCCAGAUUCUCCAGUGGACGGCCGGGUGAGUUAAAAACAAGCAGCAGCACAUUGUACUCACAGUACAGUGGUUCUCUUAGCAGUGGUCGCCCGGAGCCGUCGCCCUCUAGACUUUGAACAUGUCAAACAUUUGUACCAACCUGACAGAAAAUUUAAAUUAAAGACGACAGCUAAACUUGUUUGGGAAGAUCUUUAAAGAUUGACAGUUUUUACAGUUUUUUUGUAGUUGAAGCUUCUUCAGUGUUUAAAGCCAGAUUCAUCAGCCUCUCCUCAAACAUGCUCACAGAUCAGCAAACGUUGUUCCACUUGUACGGGACGCACAUGCAGCCAGAGGCAGCACACCUCGGAACAAACUGCUCAUUGAGACAGUAGACCUGUAUCUUCCCUUCCUCUGGGCUGAACUCAAGUCUUCCAGUAUCAUUAACCACUGGCUGAGGCCUGUCUGCCUUCUCAGUGUGGAGAGUGAGAUUUUACAGGCACAGUCAUCAAGCUGCUUGGGAAUGUGUAACAAGAUCAACAUGUUGGCACAAAAAGCCAGAUGUCCAGGUUUCAAAGCACACAAAUGAGGUCGGGUUUCAACUAUUCAGCCUUAAGGAUUGCAGGUCUGCAUCACACGGCUUGAGGUGGAGAAUACGUUAAAGUAGGGAGUUUAUCUUCAGGACACUUUAGUGCAGCAGCUGCAGACUUGUAUCACAGCAGGAUCCACUUUCACUGAGGGGGGCAGUUCCAACAAAGGAUGGAGGAUUUUCAGUGCAACUACGUCAGCUACUGUUGCAGGGAGCAUUAUCCUGCUGACACCUGUGGUAUGAAGGUGUGAGGAAAACUCAUUUCUGUUGCACUUUGAUUUGAUUUUGUUCCCUUGAAUCAAAAGAAACAAAGCUUCUCCACACAGACGCUGGUGUCUUUAAUCCUGAAACACGAUUGUCUUGUUUCAUGUGUAUGUAGAGAUGAACACGCACAUUUAAAAUGGAUCAUUUCACUUAGUAAAUCAGUAAGUGUAAUUUUUUUGUUUUAGGAAAUCAUGUUUUAGCUUAUUUAAACAGUUACAGAGAAAAAUAUUAAUCCAACCACCUCUGACUUACAGAUUAAACGUUAUAUAUACACUAAAUUAAACAUUUUAUUCUUCCGCAACCACAUGACAUUAUGCUCUUAUUCUGUCCGUGUGUACGUGUGAUGCACCUGUUAAACGAUCGUCAAUCCUCUAGAUCUGUUUGUCACCAUCGCAGAUUUAGAAAGUGAAACUACAAAUGUUUUUUAAAUGUUGCUGUGGCG